rnacentral:rRNA from 1 species
AAAGGAAUAGACGGGGACCCGCACAAGCGGUGGAGCAUGUGGUUUAAUUCGAAGCAACGCGAAGAACCUUACCAAAACUUGACAUCCCAAUGACCCUUUCUUAAUCGAAAGUUUCUAAGUUUACUUAGACAUUGGUGACAGGUGGUGCAUGGUUGUCGUCAGCUCGUGUCGUGAGAUGUUGGGUUAAGUCCCGUAACGAGCGCAACCCUUAUUUUUAGUAGCCAGCAAGUGAUGUUGGGCACUCUAGAGAGACUGCCAGGGAUAACCUGGAGGAAGGUGGGGACGACGUCAAAUCAUCAUGCCCCUUAUGUUUUGGGCUACACACGUGCUACAAUGGCUGCUACAAAGGGAAGCAAAUGGGUGACCAUAAGCCAACCUCAAAAAGGCAGUCCCAGUUCGGAUUGUAGUCUGCAACUCGACUACAUGAAGUUGGAAUCGCUAGUAAUCGCGGAUCAGAAUGCCGCGGUGAAUACGUUCCCGGGUCUUGUACACACCGCCCGU